UCUGCUGCCUUUCUGCUCAGCCGGCAGCCACCCCGGCCAGCCGCGCCCGCUGGGGACAAGGCAGCGCCCUGCUCCCCACAGAGAGCUCUUCCCCGGACAGCGCUGUAACCUUGGGGGUCACCCGCGGGCAGCGCAAACGAUCUUCACCAAGAACUAGUCCUGUGUUAUUUGUGUUAAUAAGAUGACCUGGGGAAUACAAAAAAUAGAUGAAAGAACAGGUAUGACAAGAUGUCUUGCCAGCUGCCAGCCAGGAAGCACACACUGUGCGCACUGCUGAGCCAGCCAGCAGCCCAGACAAAUUGCUUUCCAAGCUGUGAAACGCCAGGCUGAAACAGAGGAAAAUAGGCAGAAGAUUUACAAAGCAGGAAAAAAAACAGAGUCAUACGAGUCCUUCAUCCUGGGUCACAUGCCUGCUUCGACAAGGCACCAUUUAACCUCAGACUGAACCUGAUUUCCAAGGGCCACGGAAACAGUUACAUAACAAUGAACAGUUGAAACACAAAUAGACAAAGAUUUUAC